CUCAAUACCAGCGCUCACCGUUUUUUUCCUCCUGAGGCAGCUCUGUAAGAGACGUUCCCCUCUGUCUAUAAGCAAGGAGUAGAAUGAUCUCCAAGAAGUGAGCCCGCCGUGCAGAAAGUGCUGGAACUGACAAAACGGAAUCCCCUGCCUUCAUGGAGCUGGCCAUGAAUGGUCUGGAAUCAAUAGACCAAUAUCAUCUAGUGUCGAUUGUGCACAUAUUAGAGCCCCCCAGCUCAGCAAACCCAUUCCGGCCUCAGGCUGGCUGCCUUGAGGACGCCUAACAGCGCCCCCAGAACAUCCUGAUGGGACAGACACUGGAAUCUGAUGUGACUUUGAAGGCAGAUGAAAGAGCUCAUUCCUGUCUGCUCCCCCACUCUGUAAACAGCUGGGCAGGGCCUCUACUCUCUUUUCCCCCAAGCUGUAUCCCCAGCAUCCAGAGAAACCUGGCACCUGG